rnacentral:lncRNA from 1 species
UUUGGGGGUUAGAAUUUCAUACUACAAACAGGCUUGAGCUUUUUCAUAGAGCAUACAUUACGGGUCAUAGCUAAGACUGACUUACAAGAGACGUUCUGGGAUAUGUGAGACACUCUGAAUGUGAAUAGGUUAGAUUAGUAUUUCUCUGGAAUAUUAAUAUAUUAUAUGGCUAUGGAAGAACAAAGGAGCCAUAUGCUGACAAGUUCUUAGGUUAAGGCUUCUGCCCAUAGUAUAUUCAAAUGAUUUAGUAAAAUCAUUUAGUAUUAUGAUUAGUAAAAUGAUAUUGACUAAAACUCCUUAAUGGUAGUUUAGGAGGUGGCUCACUAAGUAAAGGUGCGCACUCUUCAAACCUGGCAACCUGAGUGUGAGCCCUACAACCCUCAUAAUAUAGAGGGGAGAACUGAUUCCCACAAAGACUAUUCUUCCCUCCACCUGUGCCCACCCAGCCACACGUCACGCACAUGUAUGCACAAUAAUAGCAAAAAAUUACAUUGACCAAAAAAACCAACCAACUAAACAAACCCCUCAUUGGUCUGGGAAUAAUCAGAAUUGUAAAAGCAACAGUAGUGGUGCUCUUAGAGAGGUGAGUAAAUCCCACUGUAUUUCUGGUCCCUCCAGUGUGCUUUCUGGGCAGAUAGAAGUGUCAAAGUGCUUGUAUCUGUACACGGCAGGUUAUUUUGUGGGGGAAAGGUAAGAUGUCUGAGGUGUGCUAUGUUGCUUCAUUGACUUCUUGUAACUCUGGCCCAUAAAUAACACUUUUAUCAAGUAAAUAGAAGAAAACGAGAAUAACUUAAAUGUGAGAGGAUAUUACCUAUUGAACUAUUUUGGAGAAGACC